UACGGAGGGGGCUAGCGUUGUUCGGAUUCAUUGGGCGUAAAGGGUGCGUAGGCGGCGCGGUAAGUCGGGUGUGAAAUUUCGAGGCUUAACUUCGAAACUGCAUUCGAUACUGCCGUGCUAGAGGACUGGAGAGGAGACUGGAAUUUACGGUGUAGCGGUGAAAUGCGUAGAUAUCGUAAGGAAGACCAGUGGCGAAGGCGGGUCUCUGGACAGUUCCUGACGCUGAGGCACGAAGGCCAGGGGAGCAAACGGG
rnacentral:rRNA from 1 species